CAACAAUCAAGCCCCGCUUGGUGUUGGGCCCGCGGCCGGUCCCCCCAAGGACCGGCCCGCCCGAAACGCAUCGGCGAGGAGACCGACCCCCGGCGUCUUGAGAAUCUCACGGUUCGCACGUCGGGAGCACCGGUGGCCUCCGCCGCGACCUUUUUUCAUUUCUAA
rnacentral:misc_RNA from 1 species